rnacentral:rRNA from 1 species
GAUGAACGCUGGCGGCGUGCCUAAUACAUGCAAGUCGAGCGAACGGACGAGAAGCUUGUUUCUCUGAUGUUAGCGGCGGACGGGUGAGUAACACGUGUAUAACCUACCUAUAAGACUGGGAUAACUUCGGGAAACCGGAUCUAAUACCGGAUAAUAUUUUGAACCGCUUGGUUCAAAAGUGAAAUACGGUCUUUCUUUCUCUUCUAGAUUUUUCCGCGCUGCAUUAGCUAGUUGGUAAGGUAACGUCUUACAAAGGCAACGAUGCAUAUCCGACCUGAGAGGGGGAUCGGCAAAAGUGGAAGGGAGAAAGGGUACAGACACGUACGGGAGGCAGCAGUAGGGAAAGUUCCGAAAGGGGCGAAAGACUGAAGGAGAAACGCAGGGUGAGUGAUGAAGGUCUUCGGAUCGAAAAACGAUGUUAGUAGGGAAGAACAUAGGUGUAAGUAACUGUGAACAGCUUGACGGAACCUAAUAAGAAAGCAACGGCUAACUACGU